rnacentral:rRNA from 1 species
UACGGAGGGUGCAAGCGUUAUCCGGAUUCACUGGGUUUAAAGGGUGCGUAGGUGGGCAGGUAAGUCUGUGGUGAAAUCCUAUAGCUUAACUAUAGAACUGCCAUGGAUACUAUUUGUCUUGAAUAUCGUAGAGGUAAGCGGAAUAUGUCAUGUAGCGGUGAAAUGCUUAGAUAUGACAUAGAACACCAAUUGCGAAGGCAGCUUGCUAUGCGAUUAUUGACACUGAGGCACGAAAGCGUGGGUAGCAAACAGG